UUUUCUCCUCCCCGAAUUCGCCCGAACUCUUCCCCUUUCCCCGAUUUUCUCUCCCGAUCUCCUCCUCCUCCUCACAUUUCGCCCGAGACCCCCUUCCUUCUCCGGCGAUUCCUCCUCGCCCGAUCGCCAGCCACCGCGAGUUCACCUCCAGCAGCGACCUAUCCUCUGCGUGCCUCUCUCUUGGCUGUCGAUCCUCUCCUCCCUCUCCCUCGCGAUUCCUCCCCUAACUCGCGACGCCGACCCUGUGCUGCUUCGACUCGCCGAUCGCCGGACAUCCAUGAGCAGCCGAUGUUGGCCACCGCUUCCUGAGCCCUAGCUUCGGGUCUAUAACCUCCUUCUUGACCCACGACGCCACCCUAGCUCAACUUGAUCUUGGACCAGAGCAAGAAUCGGAGCCCUAGCUCCCAUUCCUCGUCGCAGUAGCUGUGGAUCGCACGACACCAGCUGUAGGGAUUGGUUGAGUAGGCGACGUCGGAUCAACCUGGUGAUGAUUCUUCCCUAAGCAGAGCUUGAUCUUCUCCAUUCCUUGCAGUUGAUUGAAGCCUCGAGUGAAGAAGUAGAGGCUUGAUGGAGUGUUCUUUGUAGCUUCCGGACAGUGAAGGAAAGGCUGCUAACUACUGGAUUGCUGCCCUACGUCAAGGACUUGGAUUCGGGACGAGUGUCUCGACGCGGGAUUAUUUGACACGAUCGACAGAUAA